rnacentral:rRNA from 1 species
CAAUAGCGUAUACUAAUAUUGUUGCAGUUAAAAAGCUCGUAGUUGGAUUUCUGGCUGUAACGCCUGUCGCCCAGUUGUUCGUCAUUGUACGUUCAUCUUGCGUGCAGACUCGCGUCAGCCAUCCUUCGGUUACCUUCGGGUGUACCGAUCGAUUACUUUGAAGAAAUUAGAGUGUUCAAGGCAGGCUUGUGCUGUUGAAUACAUUAGCAUGGAAUAAUAAGAUAGGACUUGUGUUCUAUUUUGUUGGUUUCUAGAACCGCAAGUAAUGAUUGAUAGGGACAGUUGGGGGUGCUCGUAUUCCGUGGCCAGUGGUGAAAUACGAUGAUUCACGGAAGACGAACUAAUGCGAAGGCAUUCACCAAGGAUGUCUUCUUUAA